UAUUUCCCCGGACAUGUCCGGCUUUUUGGCAAUUCCCCCCCGAUGGGGAUUUGGGGACCCAAAAGGCAGACAUGUCCCGGGAAAUCCGGACGUAUGGUAACCCUACAUUAUGGAGAGACAAUAGCCUCAUCAUUAAGCAUCCUUUGGAAGAAUUUUGUUAGUUGCCACAAUCAAGAGAACACAUGAAAUGUCUACAAUCCAUGAAUUGGAGGAUCAGGAGUCAUUUCUGGAGCAUUUCAAAGAAGGAAAAUAUUUCACAUCCAGUUCAUCAGCCAUUGGCUGCAGUUUGGAGAUACGGCAAAGACUGACACAGAGAGAGACUGGAAGAGACAGGUGAUGAAAGAUGAGAAUGAAAGUGACUAUUGUAACUCAGUCUUUGAAUUAACAACAGAUGAAAAGGAAACUGAACUAAUUCAAGGCUAAAACAUACCGGCGAUGUUUAUCGGUGUGAGGAAAAAGAUAAAGUAGGAGACAAUUACAGCUGAGCAUUGAUUCUGAAAGCUGGACUGUGGAUUCAUUUUGGAAAACAGAACGAUAAUGAAAGACACAGGUAAAGAAUAAAAGAGCACAGCCCAGCAGGGAGCAGAUUUCAACUUCCAUGAUAUCGCAAGCUUCGUCUGUGACAAAGUGAAUUCACGCCCCUCUGCUUCUUAUGAGCUGCAAUUCUGC